UACGGGGGGGGCAAGCGUUGUUCGGAAUUACUGGGCGUAAAGGGCUCGUAGGUGGCCAACUAAGUCAGACGUGAAAUCCCUCAGCUUAACUGGGGAACUGCGUCUGAUACUGGAUGGCUUGAGUUUGGGAGAGGGAUGCGGAAUUCCAGGUGUAGCGGUGAAAUGCGUAGAUAUCUGGAGGAACACCGGUGGCGAAGGCGGCAUCCUGGACCAACACUGACACUGAGGAGCGAAAGCCAGGGGAGCAAAAGGG
rnacentral:rRNA from 1 species